rnacentral:lncRNA from 1 species
UUGAUCCUUUCUCUGUUUCAGUUUUUCUUAGGCCAAGAGGUGUCUACACCUCACUGUAAGAGUCAGGUGCUCAACUUUUCUAACCCUUGUUAGAAAGACAUCCAGCCUCCCUCUGUUUCCAGCUAUCAUGGGGUCCCCAGAGGGAAAGCAGGACUUCAUGCAGCAGUGCCAAAAACUUAUCCCAGUAAUGAUAUAGGUCCCUCAAACUCCCUCUCUGACCUCCUCCCACCCCCAAAACACUGGCUGACAGUUGUUUUUUAUACUAAAUUGUUUGCAAAACUCUUUGACAUGUGCCUGUAUCUCGAAUGUUGCUGCAGCAUUCCUGGGCACUCCUGCUUCAACGUGCUUUGGUGGCUCAGAAUUCAGAUGUAAUCAGCUUUGGUCUUCCUUAAAGGGUCAGGGGAACUCUAGAAAUGUUUUUUCUACUAGCUACAUACACCUAUAUAUGUGUGAGUGUGUGUGGUGGGAGGGGUGCAUGUGUGUGUGUGUGUGUGUUUGUAUAGAUUUUAUAUAUCUAUCUAUAUACACACACAUGCUUUUAUAUAUAUAGUAUAGUUAUACACCUAUGUAGUCUAUUUAUGCACACAUGUAAGCACACACACACACACACAUUUAUAUAUAUAUAUAUAUAUAUAUAUCCUAGUUUUAAAAUACAUGUCGAUUUUGACCCUCCUGUAGGACUGAUUGGCAGGUGAUAAUUAUAAUCUAUAGAUCCUGCUUUUCCAAAUAUGUACAGGUUCAUCUUGAAACAGGAAUUGAAGCAGACUCACAGACCCUCUCAUAUUUUCAAAGUUGUUUUGCAGAUGUGUGUACGAAAUCCUUCACGUUAGCGGCAGACAUGGCAACUCUGGCUGACUGUGAUCCGUGGAGAAGGGCCCAAGGAGCAGGAUGCAGAUGUGAACAACCUGGAACAGGGACUGCCACAGGAAGCAGACAAAGCAGGGAGGAAGGAAGCAGCAGUUUCCAGGUCUCAGACUAAGGUGGAUGGUGAUGCCAAGGUCAGGAGCUGAUGUAUUUUAGGAAGGUAAAAAGGCCUCAGCUCUCAGCUUUCAUUUCACUCCUGCAAUGCCCUCUCGGAGUCUGUGUCCAAACCUUCU